rnacentral:lncRNA from 1 species
CCGCACUCGCCAUGGAGUGAGUGUCACGCUCAAUAUAGCGUUACGAUGUGAAAGUCCGAGGUUUCAAACCCUCAGAACAUCAUUUACAUCUAUUACUCACCUCUAACCGGUCGUAGACUAGUCCGCAAUGCCCUUUCCUCUUGAAUCGACCUCUUCGCGAGUCGAAUCUAGUCAAAACCACAACAAAUACGUUACAAUAGGCUAAGGGAAUAUAACCCAAUCGAAAAGACUCGAAAAAUGUCGAAAAUCCCGAAAUUAGCAAAACCCGAGCCCCGGACCCACGUCUCAAAAUUCAGAAAUUUUUACAUCAAUACGACCCUUAUCUCGCCACGAGUCUAUACAUACCAAAUUCACAAAAAAUCGGAGUUCAUUUGACCCCUCAAAUCACCAUUUAAUUCUCUUAAGUUUCAAGCCCUAAACCACCAUUUUUGUCCAUAAUUUACUUGAGUUUUCAGCUUUAAUCCAUGUAUUUAACUUGGAAAUAAGUAGAAACAACUCACCUUUGAUGCUUGAUGAAAUUCCCCUUGAAAUUCUCUCCAAAAUAAUCCAAGCCAAAUGAAAGAAAUGAAAGAAAUAAGCCAAAUCCGUGUUUAAAAG